rnacentral:rRNA from 1 species
ACACAUGCAGUCGAGCGGUAGCAGUCCUUCGGGAGCUGACGAGCGGCGGACGGGUGAGGAAUGCUUGGGAAUCUGCCCGAUAGAGGGGGAUAACUACGGGAAACUGCAGCUAAUACCGCAUGAUCUCUUAAGAGCAAAGCGGGGGACCUUCGGGCCUCGCGCUAUCGGAUGAGCCCAAGUGGGAUUAGCUAGUUGGUAGGGUAAAGGCCUACCAAGGCGACGAUCUCUAACUGGUCUGAGAGGAUGAUCAGUCACACUGGAACUGAGACACGGUCCAGACUCCUACGGGAGGCAGCAGUGGGGAAUAUUGGACAAUGGGGGCAACCCUGAUCCAGCCAUGCCGCGUGGUGAAGAAGGCCUUCGGGUUGUAAAGCCCUUUUGGCGGGGAGGAAGGGUGUGAGGUAAAUAAUCUCGCACUUUGACGUUACCCGCAGAAUAAGCACCGGCAAACUCCGUGCCAGCAGCCGUGGUAAUACGGAGGGUGCAAGCGUUAAUCGGAAUUACUGGGCGUAAAGCGCAUGCAGGCGGUCUGUUAAGUCAGAUGUGAAAUCCCCGGGCUUAACCUGGGAACUGCAUUUGAAACUGGCAGACUGGAGUCCUGGAGAGGGGGGUAGAAUUUCCGGUGUAGCGGUGAAAUGCGUAGAUAUCGGAAGGAAUACCAGUGGCGAA